rnacentral:rRNA from 1 species
UUAAGCGACUAAGCGUACACGGUGGAUGCCCUGGCAGUCAGAGGCGAUGAAGGACGUGCUAAUCUGCGAUAAGCGUCGGUAAGGUGAUAUGAACCGUUAUAACCGGCGAUUUCCGAAUGGGGAAACCCAGUGUGUUUCGACACACUAUCAUUAACUGAAUCCAUAGGUUAAUGAGGCGAACCGGGGGAACUGAAACAUCUAAGUACCCCGAGGAAAAGAAAUCAACCGAGAUUCCCCCAGUAGCGGCGAGCGAACGGGGAGCAGCCCAGAGCCUGAAUCAGUGUGUGUGUUAGUGGAAGCGUCUGGAAAGGCGUGCGAUACAGGGUGACAGCCCCGUACACAAAAAUGCACAUGCUGUGAGCUCGAUGAGUAGGGCGGGACACGUGGUAUCCUGUCUGAAUAUGGGGGGACCAUCCUCCAAGGCUAAAUACUCCUGACUGACCGAUAGUGAACCAGUACCGUGAGGGAAAGGCGAAAAGAACCCCGGCGAGGGGAGUGAAAAAGAACCUGAAACCGUGUACGUACAAGCAGUGGGAGCACGCUUAGGCGUGUGACUGCGUACCUUUUGUAUAAUGGGUCAGCGACUUAUAUUCUGUAGCAAGGUUAACCGAAUAGGGGAGCCGAAGGGAAACCGAGUCUUAACUGGGCGUUAAGUUGCAGGGUAUAGACCCGAAACCCGGUGAUCUAGCCAUGGGCAGGUUGAAGGUUGGGUAACACUAACUGGAGGACCGAACCGACUAAUGUUGAAAAAUUAGCGGAUGACUUGUGGCUGGGGGUGAAAGGCCAAUCAAACCGGGAGAUAGCUGGUUCUCCCCGAAAGCUAUUUAGGUAGCGCCUCGUGAAUUCAUCUCCGGGGGUAGAGCACUGUUUCGGCAAGGGGGUCAUCCCGACUUACCAACCCGAUGCAAACUGCGAAUACCGGAGAAUGUUAUCACGGGAGACACACGGCGGGUGCUAACGUCCGUCGUGAAGAGGGAAACAACCCAGACCGCCAGCUAAGGUCCCAAAGUCAUGGUUAAGUGGGAAACGAUGUGGGAAGGCCCAGACAGCCAGGAUGUUGGCUUAGAAGCAGCCAUCAUUUAAAGAAAGCGUAAUAGCUCACUGGUCGAGUCGGCCUGCGCGGAAGAUGUAACGGGGCUAAACCAUGCACCGAAGCUGCGGCAGCGACGCUUAUGCGUUGUUGGGUAGGGGAGCGUUCUGUAAGCCUGCGAAGGUGUGCUGUGAGGCAUGCUGGAGGUAUCAGAAGUGCGAAUGCUGACAUAAGUAACGAUAAAGCGGGUGAAAAGCCCGCUCGCCGGAAGACCAAGGGUUCCUGUCCAACGUUAAUCGGGGCAGGGUGAGUCGACCCCUAAGGCGAGGCCGAAAGGCGUAGUCGAUGGGAAACAGGUUAAUAUUCCUGUACUUGGUGUUACUGCGAAGGGGGGACGGAGAAGGCUAUGUUGGCCGGGCGACGGUUGUCCCGGUUUAAGCGUGUAGGCUGGUUUUCCAGGCAAAUCCGGAAAAUCAAGGCUGAGGCGUGAUGACGAGGCACUACGGUGCUGAAGCAACAAAUGCCCUGCUUCCAGGAAAAGCCUCUAAGCAUCAGGUAACAUCAAAUCGUACCCCAAACCGACACAGGUGGUCAGGUAGAGAAUACCAAGGCGCUUGAGAGAACUCGGGUGAAGGAACUAGGCAAAAUGGUGCCGUAACUUCGGGAGAAGGCACGCUGAUAUGUAGGUGAAGUCCCUCGCGGAUGGAGCUGAAAUCAGUCGAAGAUACCAGCUGGCUGCAACUGUUUAUUAAAAACACAGCACUGUGCAAACACGAAAGUGGACGUAUACGGUGUGACGCCUGCCCGGUGCCGGAAGGUUAAUUGAUGGGGUCAGCGCAAGCGAAGCUCUUGAUCGAAGCCCCGGUAAACGGCGGCCGUAACUAUAACGGUCCUAAGGUAGCGAAAUUCCUUGUCGGGUAAGUUCCGACCUGCACGAAUGGCGUAAUGAUGGCCAGGCUGUCUCCACCCGAGACUCAGUGAAAUUGAACUCGCUGUGAAGAUGCAGUGUACCCGCGGCAAGACGGAAAGACCCCGUGAACCUUUACUAUAGCUUGACACUGAACAUUGAGCCUUGAUGUGUAGGAUAGGUGGGAGGCUUGGAAGUGUGGACGCCAGUCUGCAUGGAGCCGACCUUGAAAUACCACCCUUUAAUGUUUGAUGUUCUAACGUGGACCCGUGAUCCGGGUUGCGGACAGUGUCUGGUGGGUAGUUUGACUGGGGCGGUCUCCUCCUAAAGAGUAACGGAGGAGCACGAAGGUUGGCUAAUCCUGGUCGGACAUCAGGAGGUUAGUGCAAUGGCAUAAGCCAGCUUGACUGCGAGCGUGACGGCGCGAGCAGGUGCGAAAGCAGGUCAUAGUGAUCCGGUGGUUCUGAAUGGAAGGGCCAUCGCUCAACGGAUAAAAGGUACUCCGGGGAUAACAGGCUGAUACCGCCCAAGAGUUCAUAUCGACGGCGGUGUUUGGCACCUCGAUGUCGGCUCAUCACAUCCUGGGGCUGAAGUAGGUCCCAAGGGUAUGGCUGUUCGCCAUUUAAAGUGGUACGCGAGCUGGGUUUAGAACGUCGUGAGACAGUUCGGUCCCUAUCUGCCGUGGGCGCUGGAGAACUGAGGGGGGCUGCUCCUAGUACGAGAGGACCGGAGUGGACGCAUCACUGGUGUUCGGGUUGUCAUGCCAAUGGCACUGCCCGGUAGCUAAAUGCGGAAGAGAUAAGUGCUGAAAGCAUCUAAGCACGAAACUUGCCCCGAGAUGAGUUCUCCCUGACUCCUUGAGAGUCCUGAAGGAACGUUGAAGACGACGACGUUGAUAGGCCGGGUGUGUAAGCGCAGCGAUGCGUUGAGCUAACCGGUACUAAUGAACCGUGAGGCUUAACCUU